AUUGAACGCUGGCGGCAGGCCUAACACAUGCAAGUCGAGCGGAGCGGCGGACGGGUGAGUAAUGCCUAGGAAUCUGCCUGGUAGUGGGGGAUAACGUCCGGAAACGGGCGCUAAUACCGCAUCCUAUCAGAUUAGCCUAGGUCGGAUUCGCUAGUUGGUGGGGGAAAGGCCUACCAAGGCGACGAUACGUAACUGGUCUGAUAGGAUGAUCAGUCAAACGGGAACUGAGAAAACGUCCAGACUCCUAAGGGAGGCAGCAGUGGGGAAUAUUGGACAAUGGGCGAAAGCCUGAUGCAGCCAUGCCGCGUGUGUGAAGAAGGUCUUCGGAUUGUAAAGCACUUUAAGUUGGGAGGCGUUACCAACAGAAUAAGCACCGGCUAACUUCGUGCCAGCAGCCGCGGUAAUUC
rnacentral:rRNA from 1 species